rnacentral:rRNA from 1 species
UUUCGAAUCAUUCACAAUGGGCGAAAGCCUGAUGGUGCGACGCCGCGUGAGGGAUGAAGGUCUUCGGAUUGUAAACCUCUGUCACCGGGGAAGAAACGCUUUGAGUUAAUAGUUCAAAGCCUGACUUAACCCGGAGAGGAAGCAGUGGCUAACUCUGUGCCAGCAGCCGCGGUAAUACAGAGACUGCAAGCGUUAUUCGGAUUCACUGGGCGUAAAGGGUGCGCAGGCGGCCGAGUGUGUGAGGCGUGAAAGCCCGAUGCUUAACAUCGGAAUUGCACCUCAAACUACACGGCUAGAGCAUUGGAGAGGGUAGCAGAAUUCAUGGUGUAGCAGUGAAAUGCGUAGAUAUCAUGAGGAAUACCAGAGGCGAAGGCGGCUACCUGGACAAUUGCUGACGCUCAGGCACGAAAGCGUGGGGAGCAAAAG